rnacentral:rRNA from 1 species
AGUGAACGCUGGCGGUAGGCCUAACACAUGCAAGUCGAACGGCAGCACAGUAAGAGCUUGCUCUUACGGGUGGCGAGUGGCGGACGGGUGAGGAAUACAUCGGAAUCUACUUUUUCGUGGGGGAUAACGUAGGGAAACUUACGCUAAUACCGCAUACGACCUACGGGUGAAAGCAGGGGAUCUUCGGACCUUGCGCGAUUGAAUGAGCCGAUGACGGAUUAGCUAGUUGGCGGGGUAAAGGCCCACCAAGGCGACGAUCCGUAGCUGGUAUGAGAGGAUGGUGUGGCACACUGGAACUGAUACACGGUCCAGACUGCUACGGGAGGCAGCAGAGGGGAAUAUUGGACAAUGGGCGCAAGACUGAUCCAGCCAUAGCGCGUGGGUGAAGAAGGCCUUCGGGUUGUAAAGCCCUGUUGUUGGGAAAGAAAAGCUGUAGGCUAAUACCCCGCUGUUCUGACGGUACCCAAAGAAUAAGCACCGGCUAACUUCGUG